GUCACCUCCGCGGAGCAGCCCGAGAACGAGACUUGGACAAACGCCUUGAAAAAAAAAAUUCUGCUUGAUGCUAUUUAGUUUCACAAGGAGCACUUUAAUGUCUGGAAGUGUCAGUCCCAAGCAGUGGAAAAUACAUAAAUAAAAAACAGCUGGGAAGUGCAUUUUCUCCUUAUGGAGCUGCCCAAUCAGGUUUCCAUUACUAGUAAGAAGUAACAACAAGCAACAGCUUGUUUGAGAGAGAAGUAACAUGAAUUUCUAAGCAGCAAAGAUUCUCUGAAAAGAGUGGAAUAUGAAAAAUGUUCAUAGCUUUUACUUUUUGACAGGGGUAAAACAUGGAGCUAACAUCUGACUGAGGCAGGGGAAGUCCUUCCACAUCCCUGUAUCCACAUGCAUGAUACCAGGAUUCAGAGGAUCAGGAUUCUGAAGAUAGCCCAUGAGAUAGCAUAUGAACAGCCUCUGGGCUCUUCUUCAUUUGCAGAUCAGCAGAAUUUCUAAGCCAGUCUCAGUUCUGAAAGACUGCCAAGUUCACAGAAGAAUCAAUAGCCAAGGAUAUUCACAUAGGAUAAGAUUUACAAAGCAUGUUUCUCAGACAGUAACAACUGGGACCUCGGAGCACUUACUGGAACCAACAAAAUGACAACUGAUAUGUCCUCCAGUGAAUCUAUGUUAAGACGUUCUGUCUGCAGUAAUUAAAAACUAGGUCUCUGUUCCAUGCUCAAGGCCACUGUUUGAUGGGGGAGGUAUAAAGUCAUAACAGGCUGAUGUAAAUUUCCUUUGAGGUGCCUUAUAUAUCACAGAUUCCACGAGGGAGAUGAAACAGCAAUUUUGUUCCUGCUCAUAAGUAAGGGGUGGAAGAAAUGCUUCUUGUGAAGAGAACUAGACUCAUGCCUAUUCUCUAAUUGAGGCCAGUAUAGUAUAUUAUUCUUCAGGUAAAUCUUUGAUAACACUUAUUGCUUUUUCCAAGACCCCUUCUGAAAGGAGGGCUUGUAAUUCUGAGGAGGAAAUGAACAGCUCCAAAACCGAGGGAGAUAAAGAAAAUGUCAAUGUCAAGGGUCUUAGACGUGGUCAGUCAGCCGAAUUUUGUGUUUCUGCUAAAUUAAAAUCAGAAACUCAUUACAGAAAAUGAAACAAGAAGGUAGUUUAGGCAGUCACUUUUUAAGAUCACCAUCAGCCUCUGAACAGUUGAGAAGCCUUUUGUCUAUCUACUGUAGAUACCUGGGUUGCUGGCUUGAAAAGAUGCAGACCUACUUCUCUGACAGGGUUGGUGUCAGGGCUUUCCUGAGCAUGCCAAGAAAGCCACUUAUUGAGCUUAAAAAGCUUAAUUAAGCUGGGCAAAUGAUGAUAAAAACCGAGGGAGAGUACUCAUUUCACAAAUAUCUUUAUGGGUCCACCCGGGGAAAUAAGAUAACACUUAGGUGUGCACGUUCCAUGUCCAGUAUCUGUUUCAUCUCCACAUACUGCCUUCAGAAAUCACCUGUUAUUUAAGAUGCCAGAUGACCUUUUAAUAAAACAACAAUGAAGUGACAUUUUAAAAUAUUUCAAACUUAACCACAGUCCCUAGCUCUUGCCCAGCAUUACAUUUGUGCAGUUAAACUGGUAACUUGUUUUUUUCCUCCCAAGGAAUUUCACCAUCCACAUGAGCAACAAAACAGAACGUGUGCAGAUGCCAUCAUUUGCAAGUCUAUUGUAGACAAGGGAGGCACAGUGGGGUUUUUACACCACUUGAGGUCCUAUUCCAGAAAGGACUUAGGCUUUUAUUCCCUUGCAAUUGUCACAGUUAUGUUCUCAGAUGAGCCAGUUCAGUUAAAUAAACUGGAAGGUGUAAAUGACACUGGUUUUCCUACAACUAUCUUCAAUACUGGGUGAAGAAUGGCACUUUUGCUACAUGAAUAAAUGGCAUUAAAUUCAUAAAGCACAGCCCAAGAGGAAGAGAAUUUGCUGAAACCCAGCUCUUGUUCACAUGUGGACAAGAAGCUCCUUUUACACACAGGUUUUGAUCACAGCAGUAUCAUCAGUAAGGCAACAAUAUCUGUGCUCAACUAAAGCUAUCUUCUAAUGGGAAAGAUUGUUACCUAUUCGUCACAUAUAGAAAUAAUCACCAAUCAGUAUUUUGCCAUCAAAAUCAGUGGCAACACUUCAUAAGCAGAGUAAAACCAAGGAUGACAAUGGGUGUCAAAAUCUAAGUGGGUAGUAUCAGCUGAAAAGUAGCAGGGAGAGGAGUAUGCAGUCACUUAAAAUAGAGAGCAUCAGGGAUUGAUGAGGAAUGAGUUGAAGAGCCAGGAAAGUGUCUGUAGCAGAA